CAGCCGCCGCGGUAAUACCGGCGGCCCGAGUGGCGGCCGUGUUUAUUGGGCUUAAAGCGUCCGUAGCCGGGUUGGGAAGGCCUCCGGGAAAUCUGGCCGCUUAACGGUCAGAAUGCCGGAGGAUACUCCCAGCCUAGGGAGCGGGAGAGGCCGAGGGUAUUCCCGGAGUAGGGGUGAAAUCCUAUAAUCCCGGGAGGACCACCUGUGGCGAAGGCGCUCGGCUGGAACGCGUCCGACGGUGAGGGACGAAGGCCAGGGGAGCAAACCGGAUUAGAUACCCGGGUAGUCCUGGCUGUAAACGAUGCGGACUUUGUGUCGGACAAGCUAUGAGCUUGUCCGGUGCCGGAGGGAAACCGUUAAGUCCGCCGCCUGGGGAGUACGGCCGCAAGGCUGAAACUUAAAGGAAUUGGCGGG
rnacentral:rRNA from 1 species